CUUUACAUAGCCAAUACCAUUAUUACGAUAGAUUGUUGCAUUAAUCUAACGAACGGAAAAUCACUAAUUUUCAUGUACACGUUUAAAACUUGAUGUUCACGGAUUCGUCACACUACACAUUGAAAAAGUCACAUUUCAGUUUUCGAGCUCCGCCACACGAUCUUUUUAAACCUUUUAUGAACAAAGAUCCUGUUAUCUUCCAUGUUACAUUAUUUACUAUACAUUGUAAGAUCGAUAAUAUCUAUUAUAAUUAACUAUUCAUAAAGGAGCAAAGAGGGAAAUUCACGUGUGUACAAUAACUCUCAAUAAUUUACGUUGUCAAUAGUGUCAUUAUCCUAGGAACUAUUACCAGUGACGUAAACGCUACCGACAAGAUUUCUUUUCAACACACACCACUUGCAGCCAUGUCGAGCCAACAGACUCAGGAAAAAUAACUGUCCUCGGCUGGCAUGCUGGGUCAACGGAAUUUGUACUAUACCACAUAAUACCAAGUACGUCGUGGUGCGGAGAAACUAGUACACGUCAUUCUUCCUGCUAGUUUGCUAGGUUGGCAAAAGGAAUUGAUGGACUUUGCGAAUGUAGCGUGGAGGUCAGAAAAUCUCGGAGAAUGAUUUACGAGAUAUACACGAUUAAUUGAGAGCAAAUUACACGUUCUUUAAAGAACGCUAGAGUCAUUUAAAAUCUAUGCUCUCAUCAAUCGAGAAUUAGUGUCUUUGGCUGCUCCCAAGUAAAACCCUCUCGGCCAAAAUGCCCGUACGUGCUGGUUUGUUGAUAGAUCGGAUUACGCAGGUUCAAUUCUCUGUAAUAAUCACAUAAUUAGUAUUUAUUAUAAUUAUUAUUAAUUUAUAAAUGUAACUAUUAUUAUAAUUAUAGUAACGCGUAGAAAAUGUUUACAAUCAUCGCUGUAUUUGAUAAUGUCACGAUUAUUCUCAGCAAUUUUACAUUAUAUCAUGGCAUUCAAUACUAGCAAAUACUUUAGAACAUCAUAGAAUAACCAUGUAAUAUCCAAUACAGUUAUAUUUCUUAAAACUGUAGUUAUAACAAAUUUCUUUGAAACGAAAAUGAAUAAAUUAAUAUUAAAAUUAUUUUUUCAAAUAUUUAAAAUAAUGGAAUUGAUUUAACUGAAAUAUUAUUUUUAAAUGCUUCAUAUUGUUUAUCGGAUAUAUGAAUUCAUUUUAGUAAUAUCUACGUUAGAUAUUUUUUAUAUGAUUCAUCAAUGAUAUACUUACUUAACAAUUUUACCGGGCCGUAAAUCGAAGUUUUUAUUAACUAUAUCUAAAAGUUCAUUUUGAGACAGUUUAGAUGUACCAUAGUCGAAAACUGUGAUUGAAAGAGGUUCUGCCACUCCAAUGGCGUACGAAACCUAACAAUGAAAUAAUUAUUAAAUUAUAAUAAUUAAAUUAUUGUGUCUAUUCUUUGUUAAAUGUUCUUAAAAUAUUAAUGAUUUAUACCUGUACAAGACAGCGUCUGCAUAAACCAGCUUUCACCAAAGACUUCGCCACCCACCGUGCCGCGUAAGCAGCUGAUCUAUCAACUUUUGUGAAGUCUUUACCAGAAAAUGCACCACCGCCAUGAGCUCCCCAACCACCAUAAGUGUCUACUAUUAUUUUUCGACCAGUUAGACCAGCAUCACUCUGUAAACAAAGACAGUGAUUUAAAUAGGGCAGGUGUAGUUGCAUAAGUUAUUUAUUAAGCGUAUUUCGAACUAUAAGGAUUAUAGACUUAUAUACCUUUAUACAUACACAUAUAAUUUCUCUUUUUUAUCUAUACAGUUAUACGAGAUUAAUACUACAAGUUUAAAUAUGUAAAAAUUAUAUUUUACUUAUGGAUUUCACUAAGCAUAAGUUUCCUAGGGAGAGAAAUUAUUUUUAAGAAAACCUGUUUGUAUAUCAGUAAACUAGUCUCAUACAAUAAAGGAUAUGAUAAUCGUGUAGUUUAGAGAAGGUCAACAAAUCGAGUGAUCCACAGAUGUCUCUAACAAUACUGCUUAGUUUAAAUAUAGCCUGAAUAAUGAUUAUUUUACCUGUGGCCCACCAAUAAUGAACAAUC